GUGUGUGUGUGUGUGUAUGUAUGUAUAUCAUGGACAAUGGAGUCUGGUGCGGCCCUUGACCUUACCAACUCUGGUCAAACUGCCCAACCCAUGCCAGCAUGGAAAACGUAUGCUAAAUGAUGGUGAU